GAUGAAGAACGCAGCGAAAUGCGAUAAGUAAUGUGAAUUGCAGAAUUCAGUGAAUCAUCGAAUCUUUGAACGCACAUUGCGCCCGCCAGUAUUCUGGCGGGCAUGCCUGUUCGAGCGUCAUUUCAACCAUCAAGCCCCAGGCUUGUGUUGGGGACCUGCGGCUGCCGCAGGCCCUGAAAACCAGUGGCGGGCUCGCUGUCACACCGGGCGUAGUAGAUUUUAUUUCGCUCAGGGCGUGCUGCGGGUUCCGGCCGUUAAAAAGCCUUUUUUACCCAAGGUUGACCUCGGAUCAGGUAGGAAGACCCGCUGAACUUAAGCAUAUCAAUAAGCGGAGGA
rnacentral:misc_RNA from 1 species